rnacentral:rRNA from 1 species
CACGAGUUUGAUCCUGGCUCAGAUUGAACGCUGGCGGAAUGCUUUACACAUGCAAGUCGAACGGUAGAGGGGGCAACCCUUGAGAGUGGCGAACGGGUGAGUAAUAUAUCGGAACGUGCCCAGUCGUGGGGGAUAACGUAGCGAAAGUUACGCUAAUACCGCAUACGAUCUAAGGAUGAAAGCGGGGGAUCGCAAGACCUCGCGCGAUUGGAGCGGCCGAUAUCAGAUUAGGUAGUUGGUGAGGUAAAGGCUCACCAAGCCAACGAUCUGUAGCUGGUCUGAGAGGACGACCAGCCACACUGGAACUGAGACACGGUCCAGACUCCUACGGGAGGCAGCAGUGGGGAAUUUUGGGACAAUGGACGCAAGUCUGAUCCAGCCAUUCCGCGUGCAGGAUGAAGGCCCUCGGGUUGUAAACUGCUUUGUACGGAACGAAAAGGUUUGUCUUAAUACGAUGAGCUCAUGACGGUACCGUAAGAAUAAGCACCGGCUAACUACGUG